AGACAAUAUAGCAAUGGCACAUUCUUCCCUUUCUUGAUAGCCUCUGCCUAAGGAACAGAAGAAGCAGGGCAUCUCAAAAGAAUCCAGAUUUCUGGGCAAGCAGAUGCAUCGCAUCGGAAAGCCUGCUACCCACUGUAAUAGAGAGACCCUUGUCUGACUUGGACUGUAUGGUUUAAUACAAUCAAUGAGACCCAAAAUGCCAUCUUAUUCUGUUUUUGUUUGUAUUUCCCCCUUCAGCUAUACCUAAACCAGUCUAGAGAAAUGAAACCCUCCAGCGGUUCUAGUCCCGGAAGGAAGCCGAACUGCCUUGAAGCAUCUGGCCUUGUGCCCACAUGUUGUCACAGCUCAUAGCUCAUCUUUCUCUGUGCCCUUGGCAGCUGAUCUGAAUAGAGAGUGCACAUGAACUUCAAAGGAAGCAGGCAGGAUGGAGUUGGGGCCUUGCUGCUUUAAUCAAGAUGGAUUCGAGACCUCUGGUUAUCAAAGAGGAGCCAUGCAGAACAGAAGCUUUAUAGGACCAGGGAAGGAAGAAUCUCAGAGGAAGAAAAAAGGUCAGCUGUGCAGUUCUCCUGUGCAAAAAGCAGAUCAAGGGACAAGGCAAAUCACCCAGUACUUUCCCCCUGACCCUCUAAAGAGAAGAGAAGAGGCCACACAGGAACCCUGAGAGAGUGGACGGCCAGAACAGCUCUCUCCAGGAACAUGGGCAGUAUUUUUUAAAAUUCUUCCCAAAAGAUAUAUAAGUGUUCAAUAAACACAAGAAACGUG
rnacentral:lncRNA from 1 species